GUAGGUGAACCUGCGGAAGGAUCAUUAAAGAUUCGACCUUCGGGUCUAUCUCUCUUCAGCUGUGCGCUUAGGCUGCACGCUGUUGAACCUCCCACACCUGUGCACCAUUCGGUUGCGGUUUCGGCCGCUUCCGCUUUUACACAUACAACCACAGUCUAGAAUGUAAAACACAAUAACAAAUAACAACUUUCAACAACGGAUCUCUUGGCUCUCGCAUCGAUGAAGAACGCAGCAUCUGACUGACUUCGCC
rnacentral:misc_RNA from 1 species